UAGGGAAUCUUCCACAAUGGACGCAAGUCUGAUGGAGCAACGCCGCGUGAGUGAAGAAGGUUUUCGGAUCGUAAAGCUCUGUUGUUGGUGAAGAAGGAUAGAGGCAGUAACUGGUCUUUAUUUGACGGUAAUCAACCAGAAAGUCACGGCUAACUACGUGCCAGCAGCCGCGGUAAUACGUAGGUGGCAAGCGUUGUCCGGAUUUAUUGGGCGUAAAGCGAGCGCAGGCGGAAUGAUAAGUCUGAUGUGAAAGCCCACGGCUCAACCGUGGAACUGCAUCGGAAACUGUCAUUCUUGAGUGCAGAAGAGGAGAGUGGAAUUCCAUGUGUAGCGGUGGAAUGCGUAGAUAUAUGGAAGAACACCAGUGGCGGAGGCGGCUCUCUGGUCUGCAACUGACGCUGAGGCUCGAAAGCAUGGGUAGCGAACAGG
rnacentral:rRNA from 1 species